rnacentral:rRNA from 1 species
AUCCUGGCUCAGGACGAACGCUGGCGGCGUGCUUAACACAUGCAAGUCGAACGGAACCCUGCUUUUGUGGGGUCGAGUGGCGAACGGGUGAGUAACACGUGAGUAACCUGCCCUUGACUUUGGGAUAACUUCAGGAAACUGGGGCUAAUACCGGAUAGGAGCUCCGCUGCAUGGUGGGGGUUGAAAGUUUCGGCGGUUGGGGAUGGACUCGCGGCUUAUCAGCUUGUUGGUGGGGUAGUGGCUUACCAAGGCUUUGACGGGUAGCCGGCCUGAGAGGGUGACCGGCCACAUUGGGACUGAGAUACGGCCCAGACUCCUACGGGAGGCAGCAGUGGGGAAUAUUGCACAAUGGGCGGAAGCCUGAUGCAGCAACGCCGCGUGCGGGAUGACGGCCUUCGGGUUGUAAACCGCUUUCGCCUGUGACGAAGCGUGAGUGACGGUAAUGGGUAAAGAAGCACCGGCUAACUACGUGCCAGCAGCCGCGGUGAUACGUAGGGUGCGAGCGUUGUCCGGAUUUAUUGGGCGUAAAGGGCUCGUAGGUGGUUGAUCGCGUCGGAAGUGUAAUCUUGGGGCUUAACCCUGAGCGUGCUUUCGAUACGGGUUGACUUGAGGAAGGUAGGGGAGAAUGGAAUUCCUGGUGGAGCGGUGGAAUGCGCAGAUAUCAGGAGGAACACCAGUGGCGAAGGCGGUUCUCUGGGCCUUUCCUGACGCUGAGGAGCGAAAGCGUGGGGAGCGAACAGGCUUAGAUACCCUGGUAGUCCACGCUGUAAACGGUGGGUACUAGGUGUGGGGUCAUUCCG